UGCCUACGGGACGCAGCAGUGGGGAAUAUUGCACAAUGGGGAAACCCUGAUGCAGCAACGCCGCGUGAAGGAAGACGGUUUUCGGAUUGUAAACUUCUGUUCUUAGUGAAGAAAAAUGACGGUAGCUAAGGAGCAAGCCACGGCUAACUACGUGCCAGCAGCCGCGGUAAUACGUAGGUGGCAAGCGUUAUCCGGAUUUACUGGGUGUAAAGGGAGCGGAGACGGCAGUGCAAGUCUGAAGUGAAAGGCAAGGGCUCAACC
rnacentral:rRNA from 1 species